AGCAGCCGCGGUAAUUCCAGCUCCAAUAGCGUAUAUUAAAGUUGUUGCAGUUAAAAAGCUCGUAGUUGAACUUCGGGGUUUACCCAUUGGUCAGGCUUAAUUGUCUGUACUGGUGAGAUGAAUCUCUACCUUCUGAGGAACUUUCAUGCCAUUUAUUUGGUGUGAUGGGAAAUCAGGACUGUUACUUUGAAAAAUUAGAGUGUUUAAAGCAGGCUAACGUCUGAAUACAUUGGCAUGGAAUAAUGAAAUAGGACGGACUGAUUCUAUUUCGUUGGUUUCUAGGAUCACCGUAAUGAUUAAUAGGGAUAGUUGGGGGCAUUAGUAUUCAAUUGUCAGAGGUGAAAUUCUUGGGUUUAUUGAAGACUAACUACUGCGAAAGCAUUUGCCAAGGAUGUUUUCAUUAAUCAAGAACGAAAGUUAGGGGAUCGAAGACGAUCAGAUACCGUCGUAGUCUUAACCAUAAACUAUGCCGACUAGGGAUCGGACGAAGUUAAUUUUAUAAUGACGCGUUCGGCACCUU
rnacentral:misc_RNA from 1 species